rnacentral:rRNA from 1 species
GUCUACAGCCAUGCCACCCAGAACAUGCCCAAUCUCAUCUGAUCUUGAAAGCUAAGCAGGGUCGGGCCUGGUUAGUACUUGGAUGGAAGACCACCUAGGAAGACUAGGUGGUGUAGGAG